rnacentral:rRNA from 1 species
AUUGAACGCUGGCGGCAGGCUUAACACAUGCAAGUCGAGCGGAGAGAGGUAGCUUGCUACCGAUCUUAGCGGCGGACGGGUGAGUAAUGCUUAGGAAUCUGCCUAUUAGUGGGGGACAACAUUUCGAAAGGAAUGCUAAUACCGCAUACGUCCUACGGGAGAAAGCAGUGGAUCUUCGGACCUUGCGCUAAUAGAUGAGCCUAAGUCGGAGUAGAUAGUGGGUGGGGUAAAGGCCUACCAAGGCGACGAUCUGUAGCGGGUCUGAGAGGAUGAGCCGCCACACUGGGACCGAGACACGGCCCAGACUCCUACGGGAGGCAGCAGUGGGGAAUAUUGGACAAUGGGCGCAAGCCUGAUCCAGCCAUGCCGCGUGUGUGAAGAAGGCCUUAUGGUUGUAAAGCACUUUAAGCGAGGAGGAGGCUACUUUAGUUAAUACCUAGAGAAAGUGCACGUUACUCGCAGAAUAAGCACCGGCUAACUCUGUGCCAGCCGCCGCUGUAAUAC